ensembl:lncRNA
GUAUCCUGGUGAUGGCUGUGUCAUGUGCUACACUAAAACAUCGUCUGUAGAGCUGAAAAUUAAAGGGGGAACGCCCGCCCCCCCCCCCCCCAAAGAAAAAGGAAAGGAAGAAGGAAGGAAGGAAGGAAGGAAGGAAAGAAGGCAAAAGUAAACGUUGGCAGUCAGUUAGACGUCCGUUUGAGAAGAGUGGGACUUGUGUGUGUGGGGUGGGGGGGGGGGGGUGGGGGGAGAAACUAGGGUGAGGAGGAGGAGGAGGAGGAGGAGCAGGAGGAGGAGAAAGAAAAGGACCCGAUUGCCUUGAGGGGGAGGAGGAGAUGAAAGAUCCCAAGAGUGGACAGGACGGUCAGGUGAGUGCCAUAGGGAAAGGAAACGAAGCCAAGCAACCGAACACACUCCCAACGGUGGUUUUGUUCAGUCCAAGAUCAAGAUGGGGACAGCACGGUGUCCUCCAGCACACAGCGACACACAGGCCUCACUCGGCAGGGGGAGUUGGGGAUAACCCUGAACGCCGAAGCGGACAAAAGAAGCCGUCACGUUCAUCCAUGGCUGAAAAGUACCAUGGUCCCACGACAUUCCAAACUCCUCUCAAACCAUUGAAAGACUCUCUCCCUCACUCGCCGUUCAAAAUGUAGAGAACAGGAAAGGAGCGAAACGAUGGUCCCGCCGCCACGAUCUCUUUGGAGCGCCCUUCCGAAGGGGAACGUUUUCAUCCACGUCAUCGCCCUGAGACAGCUUCAGCCUGUCCCUCCCCCACCCCCCCACCCACCCCCCCCACUCCACCCCAAGCCCCCCGCCCACCCCCCCUCUCUCCCUCCUGCUCCUCUUCCCCCUCCUCUGAACUGUCGAGCUCCCCUCGCGCUGGCCUCUCACCCCACACGGUGGCAGUGUUGGCCUAGGUAUGCUCAGGUGUCUCCUAACCGCAUCCGAGUGGACUUGCACUGUUUCUCAGCUGCGUCGUUCAGGGACCAUGUUUUUCCUGGCCUUUUCCGCGGGUGGGGGAGACCCGGACGGGCCGGGGCCAGGCGGGGUGGGGGAGCCUGCGUGUGGGGGGAAGGGUGGGGGCAGAGAGGAGGAGGAGGAGGAGGAGGAGGAGGAGGAGGAGGAGGAGGAGGAGGAGGAGGAGGAGGAACAGGAACACAGCUCCCCAGCGCCAGUGUGUGCCUGCGGCCUGGAAAAGAGAUCACGCACCAGGCUGGCUCCGAAAAGGGGAUCGAUCGGUCAGGAGACCGGGCACGUUUGUGCUUCGCAGAGUCCCUGCAGAUCGAACAGGCAGUGGCAAGUGUGGGGCUUCCCACACUUAGAACUGUUCACCCAUCGUGGACACAGGCGUCUGGCACACCGGGGGUUAGGCUCUCGGUGCGAUCGAUGUCCACAAGCCGUAGCCACUGA